rnacentral:rRNA from 1 species
CAGCCGCCGCGGGAAUACGAAGGGUGCAAGCGUUAAUCGGAAUUACUGGGCGUAAAGCGUGCGUAGGCGGUGAGUUAAGUCUGCUGUGAAAUCCCCGGGCUCAACCUGGGAAUGGCAGUGGAUACUGGCUCGCUAGAGUGUGUCAGAGGAUGGUGGAAUUCCCGGUGUAGCGGUGAAAUGCGUAGAGAUCGGGAGGAACAUCAGUGGCGAAGGCGGCCAUCUGGGACAACACUGACGCUGAGGCACGAAAGCGUGGGGAGCAAACAGGAUUAGAUACCCGAGUAGACCCUGUCUCUUAUAC